rnacentral:rRNA from 1 species
GCUUACGGCCCACACCGGCCUGAGUACGCCUGAUCUGUCGAUCUCGGAAGCUAAGCAGGGUCGGGCCUGGUUAGUACUGGAUGGGAGACCGCCUGGGAAUACCAGGUGCUGUAAGCU